rnacentral:rRNA from 1 species
GCCUGAUCUAGCCAUGCCGCGUGUGUGAUGAAGGUCUUAGGAUCGUAAAGCACUUUCGCCAGGGAUGAUAAUGACAGUACCUGGUAAAGAAACCCCGGCUAACUCCGUGCCAGCAGCCGCGGUAAUACGGAGGGGGUUAGCGUUGUUCGGAAUUACUGGGCGUAAAGCGUACGUAGGCGGAUUGGAAAGUUGGGGGUGAAAUCCCAGGGCUCAACCCUGGAACUGCCUCCAAAACUAUCAGUCUAGAGUUCGAGAGAGGUGAGUGGAAUUCCAAGUGUAGAGGUGAAAUUCGUAGAUAUUUGGAGGAACACCAGUGGCGAAGGCGGCUCACUGGCUCGAUACUGACGCUGAGGUACGAAAGUGUGGGGAGCAAACAGGAUUAGAUACCCUGGUAGUCCACACCGUAAACGAUGAAUGCCAGUCGUCGGGCAGUAUACUGUUCGGUGACACACCUAACGGAUUAAGCAUUCCGCCUGGGGAGUACGGUCGCAAGAUUAAAACUCA